rnacentral:lncRNA from 1 species
GACAAUGUGGCUUCUGAUUUUUCCAUUACCCUUGGCUUAAAAUUUAUACCUAUAUCCAGGAAUAUUUUUACCAAACCAUAUCGAACAAAAUCAUUACAUGCCAACCCAUCCCAAUGUAAUAGAAAUAGACCCGAACACAACCUGACUGGACCGAGCAAACCAAGUCUAACUGAAUAAUUACAUCCAAUUAGCAUAAAUAGGAUCGAGUGCAGUAUGUCUGAAACCAAAUUAGUUCUCUUUGUAUUUUCUAUGAGGUUGGUGUAUUCCCAGAGUUUUGUUUUUUUUUUUUCCUAGAGAUUAAAUAAUCCCUGAAAAUAUCAAAUAGCUGUGCUUAUUUGCGUUAGAACUUUUCUUACUUGCCUCGAGCUCAGGUGUUGGCCUUCCAAAUUUCCACUCUAUUUGGACAUCUUGGAGCAGAAAGAAAUUCAAGGGAGCUAACCGGAGAGCCUGGGAUCAGCUUGUCAUGGCUCUGAGUUGGAACGUUUGGUUGGAAAGAAAUCGAAGAAUCUUUAAUCGGAAAAAUUGCAGAGUCUUCACAACUCUCCAGACCUAUCACUUAUGGGAACAUCCUGGAUCCCCGAAAAUUGUACAUGGGCACAAUUGGAUUUGGAAGCGUUUGAAGGCUCUGAUACCAUCUUCUUGUCUUCUCCUUCCUCUCAACAGCCGAUUCGGAUCUUCCACAGAUGCGUCCUGACAUAUAAAUUUAAUUCAAUAUGAAAUCUUAUAAUUUUGUUAAUUAUACUGAUCCAAUGUACAAAUUAGAUAAAAUUUUCAGUCCAAUCAUCCAAAUAGACUCUCAAUGAAAAAUUUACCACCUUACAUAUAAUUGUCUCAUGUUGACCAUUUGUUAUCUGAUGGUAGAGGGCAAAGCUUUCUUUGAACAAUAUGAAUCUUUGUGAAGCUUGGGAUUCUUAUAAAUCUCCCACUUAAAAUUCAAAUGGGAAACCAUCAACAUGCAAAACAAUCGAAUGUUGCCGACUUCCCAAGUUUGAUGAAGUUAAAACAAAAAGGAAAGUUCCUCUCAAGAACACAUUUGAUAGAAAAAUAUAUAGGAAGGUCUGAUUUGAUUAAGAAAAACCAAGACUAACACUAUUAUAGAGCCAUAGUUUAGCGCAAACAACAGAAAUGACUAAAGUUAACCCUAAAUCGUCAUAGUUUUAGUGGGUUUUCUCUUUGCAUUUGUGGAUGCAAGUGAGGUUUUUUUGGAAUGGUGUACUUAUUCAAUUGUAUAUGUGAUUUAAUUUUUUUUAAUUAGUUUGUUGGUUGAUUUUAACGUCGGUGUGUUUCUGAGGUAGCAUUUUUUUUCUUAGCUCCUCUAAAGCCCUCGAUAUGCAAUCUCACCCUUUUUUUUUUUCAAAAAAAAAAAAUCCUCUUUCCCAUUGGUCAAAAAGAGCUCAUUCAACUCUUUUGAGGAGGCGUUUGGUUCGUAACUAAAAUCAAAAUAAAAAUGGAUUGAAAUUAGAAUCAGAAUGGUCAAAUUCUCUGAAGUAUUUGGUUUGUGAUCGGAAUCGAAAUCGAAAUCAAAAUUGAAAUGAAAAAUUAAAUCCAUAGAGGAGAACAGGGAUUGAGUUCUAUAUAGAUUGACCCAUUCCCAUCCCACCUCGAAAUCGAAAUGGAAAUAAGACACCUUCCAACCAAACGGUUGGAAUGUGAGUCAUCCAUUUCGAUUUCGAUUUCAAAUCCCCACUCUCUCCAACCAAACAUCUUCUAAGUUUAGUUUGCUGUUGUCACCCAAUCUUUGGACAAACUCCAUCACAUCUACUUGGUGUGCAGGUUAUGUGCAGAUUGGGCAUACUUUUUUGAGUCCAAAACCCUUGAUCCACCCAACUCCAGAAAUAGGUCAUAGUGUGCGAACGAAACCUUGCCAUCGACCCAAAUGCCCGCUCCUAUGUAUGUGAACGAUCAACACACGCAUGCACAAAGAAAGAGGAAAGAAAGGAGGAGGAGAAGCAUAUAUGUAUAUAUAUAUAUAUUUGAUCAACACAAAAGAUAGGAAGCAACGUAACAAAGCCAUUUCUCUCUGGCGCCUUAACAUCAAAUUAGUGAGGACCAUCACACCAAAUGGUUCCCCGUACAGGAGAGAGCUUUCCCCCAUCUCACACCUAAUGCCUCGCUUGCAUGAAGUAAGACGAGACGUGGGUCAACUACCUCAGGGAUAGAUACCACCAGCACCACCACCGGCGCCACCUCCAAGUACACCACCAACGCCGCCAGCGCCUCCAGCACGUCCGAAGCCACCAAGUCCGGCCACGCCACCGAAACCACCAACCCCUCCCGCCGCUCCACCGAGGACUGGCAGGCCACCGAUAGCGGCGCCACCUACGCCGCCGUAGCCACCAACUCCACCGAUGACAAAGUUCUUCUGGUCGUCGAGACCACCAGCAGAAUUCUUGCUGGCCGGAUUCCCGGCCGGCGUUUACUGGGAUUUGGCCCGGCACAUUCCUAGCGUUAGCUAGAACUAGCGCCAGUCCCAGCACUGCGAACACCACACACCACCUUGCCAUUUUUCUCUCUCCCUUCCUCAUCCCGUAGCCCUUGCACCUCUCAAGAUAAAAAAAAAAAAAGUAGAUUAAAAAAAAAGUGGCCAACCUUUCAUUGCUAUCAAAGAUCCUUUUUUUCUUUCUUUUUUAUUUUUUUUAAUAUAUAUAUAUAUAUAAGUUAGAGAGAGUAAUGGCUUUCAAAGCCAUGAGCACCAACAGAGGGGCACAGGAGAUACAGAAAUGACCCUGUAGCUAGCUCUUCAAGGUGCUGGGCCUACUACAGACCUAUGAUUUGGGCCCUACAUUUUGGGGCCUUUGAUUUUAUGCUUUUCUUUUGGAACGGGAGCUGUUGGGGUUUGGGAGACGAGCUGCUGGCAUACGGUUGAACUUGUACAGCUCAGGAUCAGGUGCACAUCAGAGCUGGUCGAAGACGAGCUUCAGGCUUUAAUUAUAUUCAUUUUUAGUUAGACUCAGGACCGAAUGUAUUUUAAAUUUUGAUUUUUUUUUUAUUUUUUUUUAUGUCUGAACUAACUUCUAUUAUCAAAAAGAAAAAAAAAAAAUCACUCUGUACUUUUAGCGUGCGACGUGACACGAGGGGUUCAUGCUUUGCACCAUCAAACCCUUAUGAAUUACCCGUGAAAACAUCUUGCAAAUUACACUAAUUUUGUUUUACUGAAAAAUUAUGCUAACUUCGUUGGUCUCACCAAUAUUCUUGUUGCAUGCCAUACGUCAUCUCUUAUAUCACAUGGGCUCUAUAUGUCCAUGAUCAUGAAUUGGAUCUUUCCAAUUCAGCAUUGAACUAGAGGCAUAUGAAAAAGGCCUUUUAUAAUAUUUAUAAUCAUAUUUAUCUGAUACCCAAUAGCUCUCCAUGACUCCAUCUACAGCUUACAUGUAUCAUUUUUCCAUUAUUUAUUCUAGCCAGACUGGUUUAAUAAAUUUGAUUUAUCAAAAAAAAAGAAGAAGAUAAUAUAGUACUGAUUCAAACUAAAUCGUCUAGCCUUGAAAUCAGAUUCUCUAAGACUAUUUCAAAAUAUUUUUUUUUUAAAAAAAGAAAUUGUAAAAAGAAAAUAUACGUACGACCAGGCAAAAAUGAUAGAAUUGGAGGUUCGAUCCACAUCUUUCACUCCAACCGAAAAUAACCGCACAGAAAGGCUAUCAUAUUGUCGACGUGCGGGAAGACCGUGAUAGCUACGUGCCAAUUGAAAAGGUGGUAGCCUUCGUCGAACGGACUAGAUCUUACUAAUUGGACGGCCCAGAUCUGCUAACACCGUUACAAGGUGCCGCAUGUAGCAACUUUUCCUAACAGCAAAUCUUUUGUGGCGGACGAUACAGUAUUAGAUGUUUCUGCUGAAGGUUACGAGCUUGUACCCAAAAAAAAAAAAGGUUACAAGCAAACAACAACUACUUUUUGGUUCCCAGUCCCAAGAAGAGACAAUGGGACUGGGCUACAGCAAGACUGGUGAGCACAGCACAGCAAACUGGUCCGGCCCCUUAAAUGGGUUGAGGUGGACAAAUCAUGCAUGCAUUUGUUUGGACCUGGCAAAACAUCGAGACUUUGAGUAACUAUAAGUUGUGUAGGGUUGGUAUUGGACACUGUAGCUCUAAGAAACACUGCUGAUGCCACAAAAGUUGCUGUUUCUCUGUACAAGAUAGCUCUAAGGUAAUUAGCAAUGAGCAUUGGUUUUCUUUUUCUAAAAGAGAAUCAAUUCUGGAUCUAAUAAGCAUCAAAUGAAGCAGUGUCUUUCAUUAAUGGUUUUAUUAGUCAUACAAAAUAACACCCUCUCUUUGGGUGUUUUGAGGUCUACAAGGACUAUGAUCAAGUAAUCCAAUUCCACAAGUUUGAAUCAUUAUGUGUUUUUAUUGUGCCGCAUGCCCCAUCGUACGUGUACGGCAUCUGCACUCCAUAUCAACAUCUACAAUGCUUGAGAUCAAGGAAGAAUCCCAAGGAUUUGAACGAGUGGCAUACAUAGGUAAAGGGAGUGCAAAUGCAAAAAUAAUGCUGAACUACAUAAUCUACCUCUAGAUUUUCAUUGUAAGUGUAGUUGUCCUGGUACCCCUGCUUUUGUUGGCAAAUGCAGUAAAUUGCUAUAGAUUGUCUAUUUUUGUUAUAUUAGACCCACUUUUUUUUUGGCAAAAUCAUUAAAUCACUGCUCUUGACAUUUUUUCUUAUCUUUCACCAGAUUUCUUUGUCAUCAUUGUGUGUGGCAAGGUGGACGAGACUCGCUUGAAAAUGUCUAGGAGAGGUUCCAUUACUAGUUUAUGGAAGCAUACAUAUAAAUAUGUAUAUAUUUAUAUAUAUAACAAGCACUGUGUGCCAAUUAGUCCUUCCUAAGCUAGUUAGCAUCCCUGUCAACUUAGAAAAAAAGUCACGAAUUCGAAACGUCACAGUCACAUUAUACAGUUUUGCACAAGGAAUUCUAACAGCUUGAGCUUGCCAUUCAAAAAUGUUCCAUGAACAGCUUCAACUCGGCGUGUCAUACUUUUAGUAUAUAUAUACCAGUACUAGUCUUCAAAGAAAUACAAGUAGCGACAUAAUUGCUAAAGCUUGUCUCCAAGUUACCAGCAUUGGGAUAGUGCAUUGCAUUUUAUCUACGUACCUGCUUCUUUUGUUUCUAUCUAUGGACUUGGAGGAGGAGAUUUGUCCUUCAACUGCUAUUGUAUGUGGUCCGUUUAGAGGGCAGCGCUGGGAGUUCGUCCUUGUUCUUGCACCCCUUCCCGUAAAGGACUUAUGGAUGCUUCAAGUUUUCUCCCACAAAGGAAUUAGCUUUAACCUCCCUAGGUCCUGGCCUUCUAAAUAUUCUGCUGACAUGGUACAUAUCCGGUAAUUAUAUUUGUUAAGAAUUGGACCUUAAUUUUUUAAACACCCAGGCUGGUCCACGUUAGAUUGUUCUUUGCUUGUUUGCAAUGCCCAUGUUAGAUUUUGGGCCAAGUGUGUGUAUUCCAAUGCAAUGAGCCUAGUAUGAGGCGUGGGACUAAGCCUGAGAAAACCCAUGGCCUUGUGUGUCCCAUAAGUUGUGCGACCCUACCCUAACCAUAAUAAAUAAAAGACCUGGGCUCCAAUUGGAUGGGGUGCCGGUAUGAGAAUGACGAAUUAGAGCUCUUCAUCACAACCUGAUUAACUAUUUCAAUCAAAAGAAAUAAUCUGCUGAUUGUUGUUCAAAAGAUCAGGUCUAGCUCAUGUAGCUCAAGAGCUGCAUGAAAUUGGAUCUAUGUUUAAUUUCUGACAUAGAAACCCUGUGAAAUAUGAUCAUUUGAUCACUGAACCAUGUUAAUAGCUUGGUUUUCAGUUCAUUUUUUCACCAACCGUAUCUACGCCUGUCCAUCUUUCUAGCUAGUUUUGUCCGGGUUAGAGAGCACAAAUAGAUAGGGAAGAAGGGCAACGUGGUCGAUAAAAGGUGGCAUGGUUACGAGGAACCAGGAACUAUGCUCCUGAUUAUCUCAUGAAAACAUGGCAGAAGAUAAUGGCUUGGGAAAUUAGUGAGGUGAAUUUGCAGUUACCUUUAAAUAUCUACAAUUAAUAAAGAUUGAAAUUAUAUAAUAAAAAUAUACACAAAGCUACUGAAUGCUCGAAGAAAUUUUUAUUUCCCUUUUAUGUGUGCAUGCAUAUGUUGGACCUAUUGGUGCAUCAUUAGUAGAUAGGAAAAUAAUUUUCCAUAUUUUUUUUAUACAUUGGAAGGUGACCCCUGGAUCUCUUAUACAUAUUUUUUUAUAUUAUAAUUUUCUAGAUAAAUUACUAAAAUCUAUCCAUAUUUUUCAUACUAAUCUUUAUCUCUUUUAUAUAUAUAUAUAUAUAUAGAAUAAGCUUCUUAUUGUCUCACCACCCUCAAGAGAUUGUUGGUUUUGAUAGCAAUCAUACAUAGAUGGAAUCUGUUUGAGGGCAAAGUGAAUGAUGGUAUAUUCCUUAGUCUACAUAAAUUUCUAUGCAAAGAAAGCAUCAUCCUCCAUUAAUGGCAUCGCACGUGCAGCCUUAUGCAUGGACUAAUUAGAUAUGGUCCACGUGAUUAACAUAACGAUGGUAGAUCCGGUGCCUAAAAUGGAACUUCUUUUUGGGAGCCCAUAGGACAGCCUGCCCCAAGUUUAUAACUUAAAAAAGUACCGGACGUUGCAUGCAAAAUCCUCCUUUUCUUUUAAGGAUAAAAAGAGGCCUAAGAUCGUCUCAAAGUACUAAACUAAUGAACCCGUCAGGUUUCCAGUGGGCGGGGCGCUUAGCGACCCCUCAUCGGGCGAGGCAGCCGUGCAUCAAAAUCCCAAACUCCGGAGCCAGCAAAGCGAAGGAAAGGGAGAAGGCCCCCUAAGCCCGUGGGCCCGGCCGGUUCCAAAGCGAGGGUGCCCCAAAUGAACAUUUCACGUUCGGAGCCGGCUUGCUUUUGCCCUCCUCCUCUUCGAGGUCCUACAAAAGCGCAGCAGAAUCUCUUCCAACUCCAAAGAUAAAGAAAGAUUCAAAAGAAAAAGAAAAGAAGGAAAUAUACCACCCAUCCAACAACAGUCGCGGCCACAUAUAAAAAUACUCAAAAACUACCACCCCACAUUGCCAGUCUUUGCCUCAGACCCCACCUUCCCCCAACCACCUCCUUCGCUUUGCUCUUCCUCCUCUCCUCAUCCAAUGCCUGACCCCUUCUUCAUCUCAUUAUAUACCAAUGCCCCUUUUUAUCCUAUAUCCUUCUUCUAGUAUGGAAGCCACCCUCUUGCUUUGAGAAGAAAAGGAGGGUGGACAGACUCUGAGACGGAGAUAAAGAGGGCUGGUGGGAGAAGAGAGGGAGGGACAAAGAAGAAGAAGAAAGGAAAAGCCAGAAGAAAGACUAAGGGAUGGUCGAGUCUGCUAGGUCCCUGAGGGCCGUGGUUAGUGGGAUAGCAUGCUUGUUUUGUAUGGUGAUUUUGGUGUCUGUUACUAUAGAAAGUGGAGGAAGAACAAAAGCUAUGCCACCAUUGGCUGCUGCUCCUGUGGGGAGUUUGGUGAGUUUGGAGAGCUCAUCAACAGAUAGACCCAUUGAUCAAAUGAAUUCUGACCCUUUCUCUGCCACCAAGCGAAGGGUGCCGAAUGGGCCAGAUCCCAUUCACAACAGGUACUUCUAUCUAUAUCUGAAGUUCUAGUUCCUUGUAUUUUAUUUUUCUUUCUAGCUGUAACCUUUUUUUUUUUUUUUAUUCUAUAUUUUAAUUUUCAUAAUUUCCAUUCUCUAUGUAUGAAUCUAUUUACAAAAACUUUAUAUUGAUGAAGCAAAAGAAAGUAUUCAGCUUCCAUGACAGUCAAUAGAUUUGUCAUUGCUGCUUUUGGUCUUUGAAUGCUGUCUUGGAGUAGUAGUACAAUUAGAUGUUUUGGAAUUAAGUGCUUGAAACCUUUUCUUUGACCAUGGAAUAGCACUUAAUAGCUAUGCCUAUAAUGAACGCUAUCAUCUUGUUAGCUGACCUUUCUACUUGUGUCACUUGGACAUCAAUGCUCGAUGCCUGCCCCUAUGGAAUGGAAAUGUUAGCUUAAGAGUUCUUCUUGUAUAGAAGCUUCCACUAGCUAGAGAAUAUCAUGGAUCUCAUCUCAUGAAUCAUUAUUUUGAAUGAUUUGGUAUAUCUUCUUUUUUGUCGUUGGUGUUUCUCCAAGGAGCCCGAGCACGAGUGCCAUUCAAGUUGUCAAGGACCUACUUUGGAGGGCUUCAUGGGCCCAGUCAUAAGUUUCAGGGUCCCUAGCUUUGUUUUAGGCCUGUGAGCUCAAAAUAAAAAGAAGAGAAAAGAAAAGGUGGUCUCUCUGCACUUUAUUCAUCAUGCCCACAUUCCUCAAUCAUGCUCAUCCUCACAAACCGUUGCAACAAAAGCAAUUGGAUAUUGUGAAGAACUAAGAUAUAAUUAUGCAAGCCACUUAUGAACGUCACACAUCACGACAGAAUCAAACUCAUGCAUGCAAAACGGCACACAUCAUAACAAAAUCUACUUGGGUCCCAUGAACAGAGUGCAUAAGAUCUCACUUACUAAUUAUUACUUAAUCAAAAGUCUGAUGGUUUGAUAUAGGGUCACCUGAACUUAAGAAUUUGUGAGACUAUGUUGCAGCCUGCAUGUCGUUGUUGCUCCAUGUCUAACCACCAUUCUAUGGAUGUGUUUCUCAGGAG